rnacentral:rRNA from 1 species
AGGCGGGCUGGACCUCUCGGGGUUACAGCCUUGCUGAAUUAUUCACCCUUGUCUUUUGCGUACUUCUUGUUUCCUUGGUGGGUUCGCCCACCACUAGGACAAACAUAAACCUUUUGUAAUUGCAAUCAGCGUCAGUAACAAAUUAAUAAUUACAACUUUCAACAACGGAUCUCUUGGUUCUGGCAUCGAUGAAGAACGCAGCGAAAUGCGAUAAGUAGUGUGAAUUGCAGAAUUCAGUGAAUCAUCGAAUCUUUGAACGCACAUUGCGCCCUUUGGUAUUCCAAAGGGCAUGCCUGUUCGAGCGUCAUUUGUACCCUCAAGCUUUGCUUGGUGUUGGGCGUCUUGUCUCUAGCUUUGCUGGAGACUCGCCUUAAAGUAAUUGGCAGCCGGCCUACUGGUUUCGGAGCGCAGCACAAGUCGCACUCUCUAUCAGCAAAGGUCUAGCAUCCAUUAAGCCUUUUUUUCAACUUUUGACCUCGGAUCAGGUAGGGAUACCCGCUGAACUUAAGCAUAUCAAUAG